rnacentral:rRNA from 1 species
UACGGAGAGUGCAAGCGUUGUUCGGAUUCACUGGGCGUAAAGGGCACGUAGGCGGCUCGGCAAAUCGGUCGUGGAAUCCCGACGCUUACCGUCGGAACGGCGGCCGAAAAUACCGGGCUAGAGGGCGUGAGGGGUCACUGGAACUCCUGGUGAAGCGGUGAAAUGCGUAGAUAUCAGGAGGAACGCCGGAGGCGAAAGCGAGUGACUGGCGCGUUCCUGACGCUGAGGUGCGAAAGCUAGGGGAGCAAACAGG